GGGCGGGGCUCGGCCUGGCGGCGCGCGGCACGGAACGUUGCGGAGCGGCUGCAGAGUAACAACCAGGUUUCACUCCAGAUUCACUCCAGAUUGUCACCUUGUCCCAGGGGAAGGGAAAUGGAUUCUGUGAAGCAAGCUCAGUGACGGUGACUCUGGAUCCAGACACGGCUCAUCCCCAGCUCGCCCUGUCUGAGGAUCGGAGACAUGUGAGAUGGGGACACGCCCAGCAGGAUCUGCCCGACAAUCCUGAGCGAUUUGACACUGGAUCAGUCAUAACCCUGAGAGGGGGGAGGGGGAGCAGAUGUGAUUUUUGAAGAUAGUCAUGGAAUUUUUUUUCUCCUGAACUGGUUGUGUCACUGAACUCUAAUGAGGAUAUGCAUGUAUGUCACUCUGGGUUUGUCUACACUGCAAUGUAAGCCCAAGGAUUUUGGGUCUGGAGUCAGCUGGCCCAUGUCGGAGAACCCUGGGCUUGAGCAUCUAUACUGGUUCUUAACCCUACAUUAAGACAUUUCUAACCUAGGCUCAAAUCUGGGGCUCUGGUGUCCACACUGCAGCAUGUAGAUCUGAGUCCAACCAACCCUAGCCCAGAUUCCCCAACACCAGCCUGAAAUGUGGCCGCUGUGGCCCUUUGAGCAUGUUACAGGGUAGCAAAACUUUUCUGCCCACCCUUCUUGUUACAGGAAGUUGGAACAGCCCGCCAACACAGACAGCCGAGGAGUGAUUUUGGUCUGUGUGUGCCAAGCUACCAGAGCCAGCAACAUGGAGAAGGCACCUUUUGAAGAAAUCCUCUCGCUUGCACUUUCACUCCUGCAUCAGAAAAAGGACAGAGCUUCCUUGAAGUGCUGGUGAACAUUUGAGAGGACUUUUCUGCCCCACCAAAGGUACCUGAUGGACUGUAUGAUGGAGCAGGAGGAGAAGGAGGACCCUGGCAUGGCAGACUCACACUGGCCUAUGCUGCUCAGUAGAACUGGCAGAGCUGCUGGUAUUCCCUAGGUAGACUGGCACAGGGCCACAAGCACAGACUGGUGAGAUCCCAUCAGCCUGCAGACCUGGGAUGCCCAGCACACAGUCCGGAGCUCAUGCAGGAAAAAAAGGUGCUGCUCCUUUAAACAACAAACAGCUUGAAAGAAAGAGAGAGAAAAGAAAAUACCGAACAGAAAGAACAGGCUUUCAAAUACAUGCUAUAUUUACAGUCAGGCAAUGUGAGAAUUCCAAACAAUUCAAGGAUAGUGUAAUAAUCAGAACACAGAGAAGAGAGUGUCCAAAACCUGCAAGAAUAAUUUAAGGCCUCAAACUAGUUUUUUUCAUGAACAAAGGGACUGAGUUAAGAAAACACAAUCACUUUCCAUAAUAUCGAACAGUUUUAUUCCCUCUCUCUCUACUUUCCUUACCCCCUUUCCCUGUCUUUCACCCUCCAUUUCCGUCCAGCAUCUCCCUCCCCAGUAAAGCCUCACGUUCCCUUUCCAGUCUUCAGCUUCUCCUCUCCCUACCAUAGGCACCACCUUCUACUGGCGCCAGUGGGUGCUCAACCCCCCUCGGCCCCGGCCCCACCCCACCUCCACCCCUGCCCCUCGUCCAACUCCUUCCCCAAAUCUCCGCCCCCGCCCCUGCCUCUUCCCCCCUCCC